GAUGUACUCCCUCCGUCCCAAAAUAAGUGACUCAACUUUGUACUAGCUCUAGUACAAAGUUAGUACUAAGUUGAGUCACUUAUUUUGUACAAAGUUGAGUCACUUAUUUUGGGACGGAGGGAGUACUAA
rfam:Triticum aestivum genome assembly, contig: Triticum_aestivum_CS42_TGACv1_scaffold_394123_5AS